UACGUAGGGUGCGAGCGUUGUCCGGAAUCAUUGGGCGUAAAGAGCGCGUAGGCGGUCCGGUAAGUCCGCUCUGAAAGUCCGGGGCUCAACCCCGGGAGGCGGGCGGAUACUGUCGGGCUAGAGUCCGGAAGAGGGCGAGUGGAAUUCCUGGUGUAGCGGUGAAAUGCGCAGAUAUCAGGAGGAACACCAAUGGCGAAGGCAGCUCGCUGGGACGGUACUGACGCUGAGGCGCGAAAGCGUGGGGAGCAAACAGGA
rnacentral:rRNA from 1 species